rnacentral:lncRNA from 1 species
AAAUUUUAUUGUCGCAUUCAUUUUCAUUUUUUUCACGAUGCAUAUUUUCCAGAAGUUCAUAAAGUUUUUCACUAAUUGGCGAAUAAUUCGGCAAUAAUUCGGGAAUAAGUCGGAAAGGGAUUUUAUCAAAAAAUUUUGCACGUUUUUUUAGACGAAUAAUUCGGUAUACGCGAAUUAUUCGCGAAUAAUAAAUCUAACCCAAAAAUUCAUGUUUUAUUCCCAUUUUUUAAGAAUAAAUCGCAUACAGAGUGUUUUUAAUUUCAAUUUUCAAUAAUUCGCGAAUAAUUCGUGAAUUAACAAGCUAGCUACAAUUUAUAUCUAUACCUAUAUAUUAUUUUAUAUAGAAUUCACCACAUGGCACCCGAUGGUUCAUCUUUCCACCCUCCCAUUUUUGAAUAAAUAUAUUGACAUGAUCAAUUAUCAUCUAAACAAAUCGCUUUUACAAGAAAAAAAAAAGUAAAAUAAAAUUUCUUCAUACUUUUUUUUCUCAUGUACUGUAUGUAUUUAUUGAUGUCUCAUGGCAAAUUAAAAAAAUUUUAAUUUUUUUCAUUUGUCAAUCUUCUGUCUUUUAAUUGUAUUAACCCGCCGAAAUAC